GGGCCCGCACAAGCGGUGGAGCAUGUGGUUUAAUUCGAUGAUACGCGAGGAACCUUACCAGGGCUUAAAUGUAAGUUGCAUAAGUUAGAGAUAGUCUUUUUCUUCGGACUACUUACAAGGUGCUGCAUGGUUGUCGUCAGCUCGUGCCGUGAGGUGUCAGGUUAAGUCCUAUAACGAGCGCAACCCCUAUCGUUAGUUGCCAUCAAGUAAAGUUGGGAACUCUAGCGAAACUGCCGGUGCAAACCGAGAGGAAGGUGGGGAUGACGUCAAAUCAUCACGGCCCUUACGUUCUGGGCUACACACGUGCUACAAUGGUCGGUACAGAAAGCAGCCACUAUGCGAAUAGGAGCGAAUCUACAAAACCGGUCUCAGUUCGGAUCGCAGUCUGCAACUCGACUGCGUGAAGCUGGAAUCGCUAGUAAUCG
rnacentral:rRNA from 1 species